rnacentral:rRNA from 1 species
GAUGAACGCUGGCGGCGUGCUUAACACAUGCAAGUCGAACGAAGCACUUUAUUUGAUUUCCUUCGGGACUGAUUAUUUUGUGACUGAGUGGCGGACGGGUGAGUAACGCGUGGGUAACCUGCCUUGUACAGGGGGAUAACAGGUGGAAACGGCUGCUAAUACCGCAUAAGCGCACAGCAUCGCAUGAUGCAGUGUGAAAAACUCCGGUGGUAUAAGAUGGACCCGCGUUGGAUUAGCUAGUUGGUGAGGUAACGGCCCACCAAGGCGACGAUCCAUAGCCGACCUGAGAGGGUGACCGGCCACAUUGGGACUGAGACACGGCCCAAACUCCUACGGGAGGCAGCAGUGGGGAAUAUUGCACAAUGGGCGAAAGCCUGAUGCAGCGACGCCGCGUGAGCGAAGAAGUAUUUCGGUAUGUAAAGCUCUAUCAGCAGGGAAGAUAAUGACGGUACCUGACUAAGAAGCACCGGCUAAAUACGUG